rnacentral:rRNA from 1 species
GAUGAACGCUAGCGGCAGGCCUAAUACAUGCAAGUCGAACGAUAGAAGAGGGCUUGCUCUCUUCGAAAGUGGCGCACGGGUGCGUAACGCGUAUGCAACCUGCCUUAAUCAGGGGGAUAGCCCGAAGAAAUUCGGAUUAACACCGCAUAAAAUCACAGUACAGCAUUGUACAAUGAUCAAAUAUUUAUAGGAUUAAGAUGGGCAUGCGUGACAUUAGCUAGUUGGCGGGGUAACGGCCCACCAAGGCGACGAUGUCUAGGGGAUCUGAGAGGACGACCCCCAACACUGGUACUGAGACACGGACCAGACUCCGACUGGAGGCAGCAGUAAGGAAUAUUGGGCAAUGGAGGCAACUCUGAACCAGCCAUGCCGCGUGCAGGAAGACGGCCCUCUGGGUUGUAAACUGCUUUUAUUCGGGAAUAAACCUCAUUACGUGUAAUGAGCUGAAUGUACCGAAGGAAUAAGGAUCGGCUAACUCCGUGCCAGCCGCCGCCGUAA